rnacentral:rRNA from 1 species
UACGGAGGAUGCGAGCAUUAUCCGGAGUGACUGGGUGUAAAGAGUUGCGUAGGUGGAUUGUUAAGUCAGUUGUGAAAGUUUUGCGGCUCAACCGUAAAAAUUGCAGUUGAAACUGGCAGUCUUGAGUACAGUAGAGGUGGGCGGAAUUCGUGGUGUAGCGGUGAAAUGCUUAGAUAUCACGAAGAACUCCGAUUGCGAAGGCAGCUCACUUGGACUGCAACUGACACUGAGGCUCGAAAGCGUGGGGAGCAAAUAGG